CCAGAAACAACUUGCUAAGGGGGCCCUCGGAGCACGUGAGCCUGAGGGAGGGCGGGUACGGGCUUGGAGGUGGUGCGACCAAGCGGAGCUGUUCAGCUUGCCCUGGAAACCACCAUUUUACUUUCUGUCGCUACAAGUUUGACUACUCUGGGGACCUCAUUUUAGAGAAUGGCACUGGCUUCGCAGAGGAAGGUGCAUUGGAAACAGCUAAUACAGAAGACAGGGAAAACAGGAGGAAAGCAGGCCACAGGUAGGAAAGCAAUGAUAUUGCUGGAACAAAGGUUUUGUGCGUUCAAAAAUUUGAGGGGUAUUGCAAAAUUGUGCUCUAAAGAGGUUAAACCAACUUAACACUUUUCAGUAAAUGUCUGUUUCUACAUACCCUUUGCCAAUUUGAUAGGUGAAAAACUGCACCUCAUUCUGGUUUACAAUUGUUAAUUUCAAGUGAAGUGGACUGUAUCUGCAAAUAUAUAUUGGUAAUCUGUAUUUUUCUUUUGUGAAAGUAUGUUGCUAUCUUUUGCCCAUGUUUUCUAUCAAU